CCUACGGGAGGCAGCAGUGAGGAAUAUUGGUCAAUGGGCGAGAGCCUGAACCAGCCAAGUCGCGUGAGGGAUGACGGUCCUAUGGAUUGUAAACCUCGUUUGUCGGGGAACAAAGGCGUCCACGUGUGGACUGAUGAGUGUACCCGAAGAAAAAGCAUCGGCUAACUCCGUGCCAGCAGCCGGGGUAAUACGGGGGAUGCGAGCGUUAUCCGGAUUUAUUGGGUUUAAAGGGUGCGUAGGCGGACAGGCAAGUCAGUGGUAAAAAUGCGGUGCUCCACGCCGUACAGCCGUUGAAACUGGCAGUCUUGCGUGGGCGAGACGUAUGCGGAAUGCGUGGUGUAGCGGUGAUAUGCAUAGAUAUCACGCAGAACUCCGAUUGCGAAGGCAGCAUACCGGCGCCCUCCUGACGCUGAGGCAC
rnacentral:rRNA from 1 species